rnacentral:rRNA from 1 species
CCUACGGGAGGCAGCAGUAGGGAAUUUUCCACAAUGGGCGAAAGCCUGAUGGAGCAACGCCGCGUGGGUGAAGAAGGUCUUCGGAUCGUAAAACCCUGUUGUUAGAGAAGAAAGUGCGUGAGAGUAACUGUUCACGUUUCGACGGUAUCUAACCAGAAAGCCACGGCUAACUACGUGCCAGCAGCCGCGGUAAAACGUAGGUGGCAAGCGUUAUCCGGAUUUAUUGGGCGUAAAGGGAACGCAGGCGGUCUUUUAAGUCUGAUGUGAAAGCUGUCGGCUUAACCGUAGGAGAGCAUUGGAAACUGGGAGACUUGAGUGCAGAAGAGGAGAGUGGAACUCCAGGUGUAGCGGUGAAAUGCGUAGAUAUAUGGAAGAACACCAGUGGCGAAAGCGGCGCACUGGUCUGUAACUGACGCUGAGGUUCGAAAGCGUGGGGAGCAAACAGGAUUAGAUACCCGUGUAGUC